CUCCUACGGGAGGCAGCAGUGGGGAAUCUUAGACAAUGGGCGCAAGCCUGAUCUAGCGAUGCCGCGUGAGUGAUGAAGGCCUUAGGGUCGUAAAGCUCUUUCGCCAGGGAUGAUAAUGACAGUACCUGGUAAAGAAACCCCGGCUAACUCCGUGCCAGCAGCCGCGGUAAUACGGAGGGGGUUAGCGUUGUUCGGAAUUACUGGGCGUAAAGCGUACGUAGGCGGAUCAGAAAGUAAGAGGUGAAAUCCCAGGGCUCAACCCUGGAACUGCCUUUUAAACUCCUGGUCUUGAGUUCGAGAGAGGUGAGUGGAAUUCCAAGUGUAGAGGUGAAAUUCGUAGAUAUUUGGAGGAACACCAGUGGCGAAGGCGGCUCACUGGCUCGAUACUGACGCUGAGGUACGAAAGUGUGGGGAGCAAACAGGAUUAGAUACCCUGGUAGUCCACACCGUAAACGAUGAAUGCCAGACGUCAGCAAGCACGCUUGUUGGUGUCACACCUAACGGAUUAAGCAUUCCGCCUGGGGAGUACGGUCGCAAGAUUAAAACUCAAAGGAAUUGACGG
rnacentral:rRNA from 1 species